UACUCCUACGGGAGGCAGCAGUGGGGAAUAUUGGGCAAUGGGGGAAACCCUGACCCAGCAACGCCGCGUGAGGGAAGAAGGUUUUCGGAUCGUAAACCUCUGUCCUUGGUGAAGAGGAAGAGACGGUAGCCAAGGAGGAAGCCCCGGCUAACUACGUGCCAGCAGCCGCGGUAAU
rnacentral:rRNA from 1 species